GUGAGGAAUAUUGCGCAAUGGAGGCAACUCUGACGCAGCCAUGCCGCGUGCAGGAAGAAGGCGCUACGCGUUGUAAACUGCUUUUAACCGGGAAGAAACCCCAGGACGUGUCCUGGGUUGACGGUACCGGAGGAAUAAGCACCGGCUAACUUCGUGCCAGCAGCCGCGGUAAUACGAAGGGUGCAAGCGUUAUCCGGAUUCAUUGGGUUUACAGGGUGCGUAGGCGGAGCGUUAAGUCAGUGGUGAAAUCCUGCAGCUUAACUGUAGACUUGCCAUUGAUACUGGCGCUCUUGAGUGCGCUUGAAGUGGGCGGAAUGUGCCGUGUAGCGGUGAAAUGCUUAGAUAUGGCACAGAACACCAAUUGCGAAGGCAGCUCACUAAGGCGAUACUGACGCUGAGGCACGAAAGCGUGGGGAUCGAACAGGAUUAGAAACCCGAGUAGUCC
rnacentral:rRNA from 1 species